CUUGACACGUAGGUAUAAAAGCGCGUGUAGGCUGCCUCGCAGACGUGUGCCAACAUCAUGUAUUUUAAACUUGUUUUGGCUUUUGCUGCUCUCAUCUGUAUAGGUGUUGCCUCAGGUUCUAACAACCUUUUCUGCCAUUAUUGCGAAGCAAACACCGAGGAGGAUCCUAAAGCAACCCACAACUGCCGUAAAUUAAUUAAUGUUACCGAAAAUAGCGAUUGUCUAGGAAGUUGCAGAUUUUAUGUUGGCUCUUAUAAAAAAAACAACAAGACCGAAUACUUUGUGAACAGAAGUUGUGCUUGGCUUAGUUGUGAAGCCUUAAAGCUUUAUCACGGUGUAAACGAAUACUGUCAGCAGUGCGUAAGCAGAUAUUGCAAUACUGACAAAUAUUGAUCAUUAAGAGAAUAAGACCAAGACUGUAUAAGGAUUGUGACCUUUUUUUCUGCGACUAU